AUCAUCACCAUCAUCGCCAUCAUUGCCAUCAUCGCCAUCAUCCCAGUAUAAGGAAUGGAUGAGGUUCUCAGAGCCUGGCUUGGCCCCUACCCCUCUCUGCUGCUGGUUCCCUCCUGUGGACUCGCAGUGCUCAGGAACAGCUGUUGGUGUACCUGACCAUGCCCCUUUCUGGAAAGCACUACUGUGGCUGUGAGGUUUGGUUUCUGUCCGUCCGGAACGUCAGCGGCUGCAAGUCCCAGCGCACCUGAGUGUCUGCCUGCAGCGGUUUAAAUAGCAAGGAUUUGGUUUUUCCUCAGAGAGCAUGAAGACCAAGGUGAGUGGCUGCUAGCCCUGGUUUAGAAGCUCAGAGUAUUAGUGCCAAACUUCCGCAAUUUUCUUGGAGUUCUGCUCACCGUGGCAAUUUGGCUGGUAGGGCCCCAGGUGUCACUUGGGGAGCAGGAUGAAAGCGGUGAGGCAAGGAGGGACAUUCGGCCGGGACUGGGUGAUGCCCACCUUGCUGCUGGGGGAGCUGGGGAGUGAGGAGCAGAAUGGUUAAGACCGGCUUAGACCAAUCACGGCUGUCACCUCGGCCUGUCCCACGGCUGCUCUGAACCAAAGUGGGAUUCUUCUAGCAAGAAACAAGGGAGGCCUCGGUACCAAACAGGCAGCAAGGAAUGUAUGUCACUGUCUGCAAAAACAUUUGGGGUAUGGGGAGGGAUCCAUAAAAACAAGGCAAGUCAUAUUUGAACACCUGCUGGCCACGAGGAGGGAGGUUCUGGGUCUGGGAUCGUUUGUGACAGAAUAAAGCCCAGAUCAAGGUGAAAAACCAGAGCGCAGCUCGGAUCAGAGCCGAGGCCGACGUCUGGAGAUGCAUCUAGCAUUCUUGUCCGAGUUCGUCCUGCACUUAAUCCUGCCGCUGUAAGUGUAUCAGGGUGUUGAGUGUUUAUAUGACAGGCCCUGAGUGUGGCAGGUUAUCUGCCCAGUCAGCCAGACCACUGAUGAGAAUGGCUUGACCUUCAUAUUUGAGCUCUUCUGGCCCGAGGGUAGCAAUUCAUGUGCGUUCCCAUGGCCUUCGCCAUGGGCUUCCUUCGCCGUCUUGGCUGACCUGUGUCACGGGGGCAGCUCUGGCCUCUCGUCAUCCUCACCAGGCAUGUGCCUUGAGAGCAGUGAUGCCCAGUAGACGUGUCGCGUGAGCCACAUUUGUAACCUGAAACUGUCUGGAAGCUGCUCUUUAAAAAAAAUAAAAAGGGACGCAUGAAAAUAAA